UGUCGCUGGCCUCUCGGGGCAUGUGCACGCUGACCGUGUUUCAAAAAUUUCUCACCUGUGAACCUAAUGUAGGAUGCCUCUCCUCUGGGAGAGGGGACCUAUGUCUUCAUAUACAUCUUCGUGUAGAAAGUCUUAGAAUGUUUACUAUCAGAGAGUCGCGACUUCUAGGAGACGCGAAACUCUGAGAUAAAAGUUAUUACAACUUUCAGCAAUGGAUCUCUUGGCUCUCGCAUCGAUGAAGAACGCAGCGAAAAGCGAUAUGUAAUGUGAAUUGCAGAUCUACAGUGAAUCAUCGAAUCUUUGAACGCACCUUGCGCUCCUCGGUGUUCCGAGGAGCAUGCCUGUUUGAGUGUCAGUAAAUUCUCAACCCUUCUUGAUUGAGGGAGUUUGGAUAGUGGGGGUUGCUGGAGACUUUUAUUAGACUCGAGCUCUCCUGAAAUGCAUCGGCUUGCGGUCGACUUUCGACUUUGCGCGACAAGGCUUUCGGCGUGAUAAUGAUCGCCGUUCGCUGAAGCGCAUGACUGAAGGUUUCGCGCCUCUAAUACGUCGACUCUUAUUAUCUCUUCGGAGAGAAAAGGUCUUCUUUAUUGACUUUUGACCUCAAAUCAGGUAGGACUACCCGCUGAACUUAAGCAUAUCAAUAAGCGGAGGAAAAGA
rnacentral:rRNA from 1 species